rfam:Haemonchus placei strain MHpl1 genome assembly, scaffold: HPLM_scaffold0002612
GGCCCAAAUUCCAAAUAGAGUAGAUUAGGAUGAUCAUCUGAUCCUGCUAAACUACACUACUUCGAGUUUGAGCCC